UACAGAGGCCUCAAGCGUUAUCCGGAAUUAUUGGGUGUAAAGGGUGUGUAGGUGGCAAUGUUAGUCGUUUUUGAAAGCCCGGGGCUUAACCUCGGGACCGGGGGCGAAACGGCAUUGCUUGAGUAUGUAAGGGGUCUGCGGAACUCUCUGUGUAGGGGUGAAAUCCGUUGAUAUAGAGGGGAACACCAAAAGCGAAGGCAGCAGACUGGUGCAUUACUGACACUGAAACACGAAAGCGUGGGUAGCGAAUGGG
rnacentral:rRNA from 1 species